rnacentral:snoRNA from 1 species
GAUGACAAAUCUCCGGAAUCGCUGUAAAACUUUGAUGAAAACCUCGAACCCUUUGUCUGAUGACAGCUGACUGAGUCAU